rnacentral:rRNA from 1 species
CCUACGGGAGGCAGCAGUGAGGAAUAUUGGUCAAUGGCCGCAGGGCUGAACCAGCCAAGUCGCGUGAGGGAUGACGGUCCUCUGGAUUGUAAACCUCUUUUGUCAGGGAGCAAAGGUCGCCACGUGUUGCGCUUUGCGAGUACCUGAAGAAAAAGCAUCGGCUAACGCCGUGCCAGCAGCCGCGGUAAUACGGAGGAUGCGAGCGUUAUCGGGAUUUAUUGGGUUUAAAGGGUGCGCAGGGGGAAUGUCAAGUCAGCGGUAAAAUUUCGGGGCUCAACCCCGUCGUGCCGUUGAAACUGGCGUUCUUGAGAGAGCGAGAAGUAUGCGGAAGGCGUGGUGUAGCGGUGAAAUGCAUAGAUAUCGCGAAGAACGCCGAUUGCGAAGGCAGCGUACCGGCGCCAGACUGACGCUGAGGCACGAAAGCGUGGGGAUCGAACAGGAUUAGAUACCCGGGUAGUC